AGAUUUUAAAAUGACAUAAAAAGAUACUAAAGGACUAAAGUGAAACGUGCGUCAAGAAGGAGGGCCUCAUCGCGCAAUAUCCUCAUUCCUUAUACGCAUCAUUUUGCGCCGGACUGGAAUAGAAUAGACGCGAAAAAAUGGGGUUAAAUUGAAAAUACUAAAAAAAGGGAAAAUGACCAAAUUGAAGCCAAUCAUAAAAGCGGAGGGAUCCGUAGCGAAAAUAACCCAUUCAGUCUUGAAACGUGCGGAUCCUCUGCUAAACGGGUCGGGUCGCGGGUCAGCCUCCCCAAAAUGACGUCGUUUUGAGUAUCGGGAGGCCACCCAAAACGUUGUCGUUUCGUCUUCUAUUUAAGCCCUCUUUUUUUAUUGUUUUAUUUAUUCAUUCAUUCCCCAUAAAAAAAACUGCAGAACUCUCUCAUGCUCUCCAUGCCCUCCAACGAUCGGGCCUCUCACUGUCGUUCGCCCAUCCGCCGCACCACCACUAAAUCGAUGGCCGACGAAGCGUGAGGAAGGGUUUUUAAAGCCCAGUUCCAGGCGGGCUGUGGGGUUGGGCAUUCGAGCCCCACAAGGACCGAGACAGAGGCCCACGACCCUACCUCUUCGAAUCCGGUCUCGACGACGGAGAUCUACCCUCCGACGGCGGUCACGGGGCGUCCUGUGCCUAUCGCGGCAGUAGAGUCGGGAGCAGGUGCGGAUGGGACGUGAUGAACGGCGGUGGCAGAGGGGUGGGUACUGCGCCAGAAAACAGAGAGCACCUAGGGUUUGAAAAUUUUGUUUUGCUGCUUGGUUUGUUUGGGUUGGGUUGGUCUAGUUUGUAAUGGGCUAGUGGGCUAGGGUUAUUGGGCUAGGUUUAGGUGGGUUGAAAUUUGGGUCUUAAUUGGGCCAUCUGAUUUGGGUUUGUAGUUAGGUUGGUUUGGGUUUUGGGCCCCGGGCAAAUUUGGGCUUGCACAGUGUGCACCUUACUAGAGUGUUAGGGGUAUAUGUGUUCACACAUAUCAAGGUUUCAUACUUUUGGCACUUGUGCACAAUAUUGCCGAGUGUUAGGGUUUUGUCCGUAUAUCUGUUCUUUUUUUUUAUUCAGCCAAAAUAAAAUUAUUAUUAUAAAAA